rnacentral:tRNA from 1 species
AGCCCAACGGCAGAGGCAGCCGACUCAGACUCGGCCCAGUGAGGGUUCGAAUCCCUCC